UACGUAGGGUGCGAGCGUUGUCCGGAAUUAUUGGGCGUAAAGGGCUCGUAGGCGGUUUGUCGCGUCGGGAGUGAAAACUCAGGGCUUAACCCUGAGCCUGCUUCCGAUACGGGCAGACUAGAGGUAUGCAGGGGAGAAUGGAAUUCCUGGUGUAGCGGUGAAAUGCGCAGAUAUCAGGAGGAACACCGGUGGCGAAGGCGGGUCUCUGGGCCGUAACUGACGCUGAGGAGCGAAAGCGUGGGGAGCGAACAGG
rnacentral:rRNA from 1 species